rnacentral:lncRNA from 1 species
CGCCUGUUUGCGCGGCGGAGACGGCGGUGGCUUCUGGGCUUGAGCUGCUGCCUCGAGCUCCGAGGUCAGCAUGUCGAACAUGACCUGGACGUCCUUGUACCCGCAGGUCUGCACGUCCUCGUGGAGCUUCAGGAUGCCGCCACUGCCUGUGUUGAGGUGAGAUCUUGUCAGACGCAUAGUGGCGAGGAAAACAAAAUUCAUGAAUCAGCUAUCAGUUCUGUGAAGAGGCAUUAUUCAUGUGUUUUCUUAAAUUAAUCUCGGGAAAGCGAAAUAAACAGAACCAUCAAGAACCUCCCUUAAAAGUUCAUCAGACAGAUAUAGCCAAACUUGUCAUCUAAUCAAAAUGCUGGUUAUUAAUCUAAAAGUUGAAUUCAUAAGCAAAUAAAUUUGCUAAUUUGGUACAUAUACGAAACUAAUGCAUCUUUUAGGACUGUUGCAAUUAUUUAAGCAAAUGAUUUCCUAACAAAUUUGUGCUAAACGAAAUAAAGAACUCUAUUGAACGUGAGGCUUAGCUUGGGAUUUCCAUGACAAACGUCGAAGCGCAGCACCAAAAGAAAACAAAAAUCAACAAGGCAAGGUGGCAAAUGUAACGAGGACAUCUUUGCAGAAAAAACAUGUAGAAGGAGAAAUAUUCACUUAUUGCUUUACACUUUGUUACUAUUUUAUAAUGUAAAAGAGACAGUCCCUCCACUUCCCUUGGGCUAAACCGCCAAAUGGCAUCAUAGGUAGGAACUUUGGACCAUCCCAAUCCCAAGAAAAGUUACCAGAAAUUGACCUAAGCAACCCAAUGGACGGCUGCGGUACAAAAAGAGAACCUCCCUAAAAAAGAAUGCAAAAGCAGCAUUGGCCACGUCCCAAAAGAUCGGUACAAAUCAUAUAGUGAGUGACGCCCUUUUGUUUAAGAAACUUCCUACUGAUGAUUCUCUGAUGCACCGUUGAAAAGUGAUUCUCUGAUGCCAUCUGCAGUUUCACUGCCAAGGCACCGUGUCCGUUUGGCCUGAGCAGCCUUUUUCCCCGCUGUGGCUGACAUAGGCUCACGAAUCACGAUUUUGGUCCACAGGGGAUGGCUCCAUCCGGUUUCGAUUUUCUCCUCUCUCGGCACCCAGGACGUGGAUUUUGUACGAAACUUAAGGUAAAAAUCUCCCAAAACCUCGCACAAUUCCCGUGCUCCCAAGAAAGCAGGCUCCACUGCUCCAGUAUUCAAUCAAAGGCUGCAUGCACAGGAAGCUACUGCUGCAUCGUGAAGCUUUUCUUUUACUACUACUGCAUGCAGAAGCCCAUCCGGUUCUGCAUUCACUCGCCGCGCUCCACCCCAGUACGCAUACGUAUCCAAGGCACGCGAGAUAUUUAAGGCCGGCACGUGGGCCGAUAGCGACAUCCGACGCGGGACACAGCAGCAGCAGCGGCCGGGGCCCACCGUCGGCGGCGCUAAAGGUCAAUGGCGGCAGCGGGGGGCCAGCGGGCCAGGGAGAGGGAGGGGGCCGUGUCAAUGUGCCACCAUGUGGCGCGUGUGCGCGUGUGUGUGGUUGGGGGACGGACGCGCCCCUGGCUGCGGCCCCGCGCGCGCCUCGUGGUGAGGCCGCCGGGCCACGCAGCGCGGCGCGGCCAUUCAAGUCGAGAUCGUGCGGAGAUUUUCGUGCGGCUGCUGCGCAACGGGAUCCGGGCGAGGGGGAUGGAUCCAAUAUAAGCCGCUCCUUUUCGCUGCGCUGCCAUUGCCAGCAGCGGCGGCAGCAGCCCCUUGUACCCUUCAAUUCAAGCCUUCACCUUCGUGAAUCUGAUGACUAGCUAUUCAUGCUAUGUGAUAUCCUGGAGGGAGACGUUUACCUCUGCUUGGUCGUUUCUCAGAUUGUGCUAAACUUGGCAUUGAGGCGCAGCCCACAUGAUAUAGCCCGGUCGAUGCAGGCUAGUUAGUAUUCAAGCUGAAUAUUACGUGUCCUUUUUUCCCUUUUUUUUUACAAAUUUGAGUGUCGAUUUCAUAUACUACUGCAUUUUUUUGAACAGAAAAAACUGGAGAAGAGAAACAGUAGAGCCGAAACCGACUUCAGUUCCGGAGUUCAGGGAGAGAACAACCAAUAGAGCAGUCGAGUGCUGUGUGUAACCAGAACCGAGCCUGGUACCAGCUGAGUCGCCAAAACGAAAAUUCGAGAGACGAGCAUACUCUAACCCUCGUAUCAUGCAUGUAUGUUUUUGGAGAUGAUUUGACCAUUAAUUUCGUAUACCCUUCCUUAACCCUUAUUUCGUUGAACAUGUUCUACGAUUCCUCUGUAGAAUCCGGAACAGAGACAAAGCGAACCCGAGUCAGCCGACGAACUCGACAACAAAAUCGAGCAAGCAACCACUACGAGUCUACGACGCCCAGGAGAACGAACGAGAUGUACGAUCGCUUUUUCGAGUCUAAUUCUCAAGGAUUCCCCCCAAAACAUUAACAGAGAGAGCAUCCGGAUGAGGGAAGGGAAGGGAAGGGGGCAGGGAUGGUCACUGACCGGGCUUGCGCGCGCGGAGCCGCGCGGCGACGGCGGCCCAGGCGCGGCGCGCGCGGGGCACCACCUUCCUCCGCCACCACGCCACCAUCCCGCGACGCUGGCGACGGUGCCCCUUCUUCCGCCUGCGAGGCUGCGCUGCCUGCCUCCGAGUCUCCUGGCCGCGGCGGCGUCGCCCUGCCCCGGCGGGGUGUGUGUCUGCCUGUGAAGGGGAGUCGGGGGCAGCGCGUGGUUUCAGUUG